GCUGAAGCCUGAAGAAGCAAAUAUCAAGGUUAUACAGUUGUUUUGGAUUUCCAUUUUGAGUCCACAAGAAGGCUAAGUUUCUUUGGAUUUCUUUACAUGUGCUGUAGAUAUGAACAUAUACCCGUGGCGAGAAAAUAAAGACCAGCUGAAACACGAGGAAUGAAACAUCCUCAGUGCUGACAGUAAGAAUGGAAAGGACAUCUGUGCAUCGUGGCAACAAAGUCAUUACGAACAAUGGAGACCUGCAGAAGAUCUUCUAAGAAGGAUUAUUUGUGGUGACAGCAAUCUCCUGACAUUGACCCGAGCUUCUUCCCCUUGCAGAACACACGGCUGUUUACACCAGGAAACUAAUAAACAUAUUGUAAACAACAACCAUCAGAAUUAUUCUGUGGGACUUGAGGGGCAGUUUGUAACUCCAUAGUCACUGGAUUCAUUCCUUCUCCAUCCUGUGCAAAUCUGAGAUGCAAGAGGCUCUUAAACAUUAAGUCAGAGCUGUGUCUUUACAUUCAGAGUUUUAGUGCUUUCUAUUUUAUUGUUUUCUAUAAACUUGGUGUAGGACCCUUUCUAAGCACGUUUCUGGCCUUUAGUAAAGGACAGAUAUGCAGGAAGAGGUUGUGUGGUGCCAAAAUGACUGAUGGAUGACUGACGUGCAUGGGAGCUUCCAGUGCUCAUGGAAUGGGACCCACAAUGUGCGUAACCUAAUGAAUGAUAUUGCAUGCUUUCUGUGAUAGUA